rnacentral:tRNA from 1 species
AAACAGGAAGCAAACUUUGCGCUUAGUUUCGACCUAAGAGUUUGAUGAAUCCAUCCCUGUUUA